CUUAGGCUCUCGUUGAGGCGCAGCAGUUGACUGGACAUCUAGGGGUAAAGCACUGUUUCGGUGCGGGCUGCGUGACCGGUAUCAAAUCGAGGCAACUCUGAAUACUAGAUAUGACCCAAAGAUAACAGGGGUCAAGGUCGGCCAAUGAGACGAUGGGGGAUAAGCUUCAUCGUCGAGAGGGAAACAGCCCGGAUCACCAGCUAAGGCCCCUAAAUGACCGCUCAGUGAUAAAGGAGGUGGGGGUGCAAAGACACCUUUCAUAUUGGUAAGUCAAAUCCUGGUGAAGACAUCAUGAGCAAUGACACGACGACAUCAUCUCCACUUCGUACCCCAUCGGUCUUCAUUCAUUGAAGCCAGGGCAUUGACUGACUUUCAGCGAUCGCUAUAAG
rnacentral:ncRNA from 1 species